rnacentral:rRNA from 1 species
AUACGGAGGAUCCGAGCGUUAUCCGGAUUUAUUGGGUUUAAAGGGUGCGCAGGCGGCCAUUUAAGUCAGCGGUUAAAUCGUGGGGCUCAACCCCAUUCUGCCGUUGAUACUGGGUGGCUUGAUUGCGGUCGAGGUGGGCGGAAUUCGUGGUGUAGCGGUGAAAUGCUUAGAUAUCACGAAGAACUCCGAUUGCGAAGGCAGCUCACUGGACUGCAACUGACACUGAUACUCGAAAGUGUGGGUAUCAAACAGGAUUAGAUACCCUGGUAGUCCACACAGUAAACGAUGAAUACUCGCUGUUUGCGAUAUACAGUAAGCGGCCAAGCGAAAGCAUUAAGUAUUCCACCUGGGGAGUACGCCGGCAACGGUGAAACUCAAAGGAAUUGACGGGG